UUUGGAGCAACUACAUAUAAGUUAGGUUUUGGGUAAAAUAUGAUUAACGAGUGUUUUUAUAGUAAAAUUUGAUUAUCUUAUUCAUAAGUUAUUAAAGAAAACCGAAGGAAUAUAUCACUAAUUUAAAAAUAAAAAAUAAAAUAAAAAGAAAGGUACCACAGUUAAAGAAAUAAAAACAUAAACUACAUUUGUUAGGAUUCGAAGCAUGUCCUGAAUUAUUUUUUCCAUUGGUUAUAUUUAGAAACCGAGGAAAUAUGUGGUAUUUAUUUAUUAAAAA
rnacentral:lncRNA from 1 species